UCUCCGUUGGUGAACCAGCGGAGGGAUCAUUGCUGGAACGCGCCCCUGGCGCACCCAGAAACCCUUUGUGAACUUAUACCUUACUGUUGCCUCGGCGCAGGCCGGCCCCCCCACGGGGGCCCCUCGGAGACGAGGAGCAGGCCCGCCGGCGGCCUAGUUAACUCUUGUUUUUACACUGAAACUCUGAGAAACAAACAUAAAUGAAUCAAAACUUUCAACAACGGAUCUCUUGGUUCUG
rnacentral:misc_RNA from 1 species